GGGUUGUGAGGUUAAGCGACUAAGCGUACACGGUGGAUGCCCUGGCAGUCAGAGGCGAUGAAGGGCGUGCUAAUCUGCGAUAAGCGCCGGUAAGGUGAUAUGAACCGUUAUAACCGGCGAUACCCGAAUGGGGAAACCCAGUGUGAUUCGUCACACUAUCAUUAACUGAAUCCAUAGGUUAAUGAGGCGAACCGGGGGAACUGAAACAUCUAAGUACCCCGAGGAAAAGAAAUCAACCGAGAUUCCCCCAGUAGCGGCGAGCGAACGGGGAGGAGCCCAGAGCCUGAAUCAGCAUGUGUGUUAGUGGAAGCGUCUGGAAAGGUGCGCGAUACAGGGUGACAGCCCCGUACACAAAAGCGCAUGUGCUGUGAGCUCGAUGAGUAGGGCGGGACACGUGGUAUCCUGUCUGAAUAUGGGGGGACCAUCCUCCAAGGCUAAAUACUCCUGACUGACCGAUAGUGAACCAGUACCGUGAGGGAAAGGCGAAAAGAACCCCGGCGAGGGGAGUGAAAAAGAACCUGAAACCGUGUACGUACAAGCAGUGGGAGCACAGGUUUACCUGUGUGACUGCGUACCUUUUGUAUAAUGGGUCAGCGACUUAUAUUCUGUAGCAAGGUUAACCGUAUAGGGGAGCCGUAGGGAAACCGAGUCUUAACCGGGCGUUAAGUUGCAGGGUAUAGACCCGAAACC
rnacentral:rRNA from 1 species